GGAGUUAGCCGGUGCUUCUUCUGUGAGUGAUGUCCUUCCUGCCGGCUAUUAACCCGCAGGCCUUCUUCCUCACUGAAAGUGCUUUACAACCCGAAGGCCUUCUUCACACACGCGGCAUGGCUGGAUCAGGGUUGCCCCCCAUUGUCCAAUAUUCCCCACUGCUGCCUCCCGUAGGAGUCUGGGCCGUGUCUCAGUCCCAGUGUGGCUGAUCAUCCUCUCAGACCAGCUACGGAUCGUCGCCUUGGUGAGCCGUUACCUCACCAACCAGCUAAUCCGACAUAGGCUCAUCCGAUAGCGCGAGGCCCGAAGGUCCCCCGNUUUCCCCCGUAGGGCGUAUGCGGUAUUAGCCUGGGUUUCCCCCAGGUUAUCCCCCACUACCCGGGCAGAUUCCUAUGCAUUACUCACCCGUCCGCCGCUCGCCACCAGGGAGCAAGCUCCCCGUGCUGCCGCUCGACUUGCAUGUGUUAGGCCUGCCGCCAGCGUUCAAUCUGAGCCAUGAUCAAACUCUGA
rnacentral:rRNA from 1 species